rnacentral:misc_RNA from 1 species
AAGUCGUAACAAGGUUUCUGUAGGUGAACCUGCAGAAGGAUCAUUGCGGAUAUAGAGCUGCACGGCUUGCCGUUGCGCUCAAACCUCUUCAUCCACACCUUACACGCUUGUGCACACACACACAAUCUUCUUUGCUAUUUGAAUUGAAAGUAAAUACAAGUCCUCCGACGUGGGGCAUGAAAGUAAAUACAACUUUCGGCAACGGAUCUCUUGGUUCUCCUAUCGAUGA